AUCGCUUCUCGGCCUUUUGGCUAAGAUCAAGUGUAGUAUCUGUUCUUAUCAGUUUAAUAUCUGAUACGUCCGCUAUCAGGGGACCAUAUAUUAAAUUGAUUUUUGGAAUCGGGAGAUGGAACAGGGGCUUGCUCCGUCCACUUAGCGGAGGUCUACAGAGCGGUCUACAGGGAGAAGCGGUUGGGCCCUUCUAUG